rnacentral:sRNA from 1 species
AAGGGGACAAAGUUGGAAAGUCCGACGCAAGCUUGCUUGCAGGAGGGCUUUCCAAUUUUGAACCCGCAAAACAUGAGUAAGCAGCCAUUUUUCGCAGAAAAAUGAGCGGAUUACGAAUGUUUUGUAGAUUGCGGGAGCGCGAAGCGCGGAGCAAUCGUG